rnacentral:rRNA from 1 species
GACGAACGCUGGCGGCGUGCUUAACACAUGCAAGUCGAACGGAAAGGCCCUGCUUUUGUGGGGUGCUCGAGGGGCGAAAGGGUGGGUAACACGUGAGUAACCUGGCCUUGACUUUGGGAUAACUUCAGGAAACUGGGGCUAAUACCGGAUAGGAGCUCCUGCUGCAUGGUGGGGGUUGGAGAGUUUCGGCGGUUGGGGAUGGACUCGCGGCUUAUCAGCUUGUUGGUGGGGUAGUGGCUUACCAAGGCUUUGACGGGUAGCCGGCCUGAGAGGGUGACCGGCCACAUUGGGACUGAGAUACGGCCCAGACUCCUACGGGAGGCAGCAGUGGGGAAUAUUGCACAAUGGGCGGAAGCCUGAUGCAGCAACGCCGCGUGCGGGAUGACGGCCUUCGGGUUGUAAACCGCUUUCGCCUGUGACGAAGCGUGAGUGACGGUAAUGGGUAAAGAAGCACCGGCUAACUACGUG